GAGGCCAUGGAUACCAACCUACUGAUUCUCUAAGAGGAGAAGAAGAAAGAGUCCAAACUCAUGGCAAGGCUCAAAAAUCAACUUAAUUAGAAGUUGAAGUUGCUGAAGGAGAAGAAUCAAAAUCUUUUGGAUCUUCAGCGAAAAUGUAAUGAACAAAAUAAGAAGGUUUUCGAGCUGCACAUCCAAGUUGAAGAGAACAAAGAAUUGGGGUCAAGGCUAAAAGAGGCUGAGAAGGCCAAUGAAGCUCAUGGAAAGGCCAUUGAAGCACUUAAAAAGUAGCUCAAACUAGAGCA
rnacentral:lncRNA from 1 species